rnacentral:rRNA from 1 species
AGCGAACGCUGGCGGCAGGCCUAACACAUGCAAGUCGAACGGACCCUUCGGGGUUAGUGGCGGACGGAUGAGUAACACGUGGGAACGUGCCUUUAGGUUCGGAAUAGCUCCUGGAAACGUGUGGUAAUGCCGAAUGUGCCCUUCGGGGGAAAGAUUUAUCGCCUUUAGAGCGGCCCGCGUCUGAUUAGCUAGUUGGUGAGGUAAUGGCUCACCAAGGCGACGAUCAGUAGCUGGUCUGAGAGGAUGACCAGCCACAUUGGGACUGAGACACGGCCCAAACUCCUACGGGAGGCAGCAGUGGGGAAUCUUGCGCAAUGGGCGAAAGCCUGACGCAGCCAUGCCGCGUGGAUGAUGAAGGUCUUAGGAUUGUAAAAUCCUUUCACCGGUGAAGAUAAUGACUGUAGCCGGAGAAGAAGCCCCGGCUAACUUCGUGCCAGCCGCCGCGGUAA